GAUGAACGCUGGCGGCGUGCCUAAUACAUGCAAGUCGAGCGGACAGACGAGGAGCUUGCUUCUCUGAUGUUAGCGGCGGACGGGUGAGUAACACGUGGAUAACCUACCUAUAAGACUGGGAUAACUUCGGGAAACCGUAGCUAAUACCGGAUAAUAUUUUGAACCGCAUGGUUCAAAAGUGAAAGACGGUCUUGCUGUCACUUAUAGAUGGAUCCGCGCUGCAUUAGCUAGUUGGUAAGGUAACGGCUUACCAAGGCAACGAUUCGUAGCCGACCUGAGAGGGUGAUCGGCCACACUGGAACUGAGACACGGUCCAGACUCCUACGGGAGGCAGCAGUAGGGAAUCUUCCGCAAUGGGCGAAAGCCUGACGGAGCAACGCCGCGUGAGUGAUGAAGGUCUUCGGAUCGUAAAACUCUGUUAUUAGGGAAGAACAAAUGUGUAAGUAACUGUGCACAUCUUGACGGUACCUAAUCAGAAAGCCACGGCUAACUACGUG
rnacentral:rRNA from 1 species